rnacentral:rRNA from 1 species
CGGCGUGCUUUAGGCAUGCAAGUCGAACGCGAAAGCCCCUUCGGGGGUGAGUAGAGUGGCGAACGGGUGAGUNACACGUGGGUAACCUGCCCCUCGCAGGGGGAUAACCGGGGGAAACCCCGGCUAAUACCCCGUACGCUUGCUGGGGCGCAUGCUCCGGCAAGGAAAGGUAGCUUCGGCCAUCCGGCGAGGGAGGGGCCCGCGGCCCAUUAGCUAGUUGGUGGGGUAACGGCCCACCAAGGCGACGAUGGGUAGCUGGCCUGAGAGGGUGGUCAGCCACACUGGGACUGAGACACGGCCCAGACUCCUACGGGAGGCAGCAGCCAGGAAUCUUGCGCAAUGGGCGAAAGCCUGACGCAGCAACGCCGCGUGGGCGAUGAAGGCCUUCGGGUCGUAAAGCCCUGUUGUCGGGGACGAAGGGCGAAGGGUUAAUAGCCCCUAGCCUGACGGUACCCGACGAGGAAGCCCCGGCUAACUACGUGCCAGCAGCCGCGGUAAUACGUAGGGGGCGAGCGUUGUCCGGAAUCAUUGGGCGUAAAGAGCGUGUAGGCGGCCCGGUAAGUCCGCUGUGAAAACCCGGGGCUCANCCCCGGGCGUGCAGUGGAAACUGCCGGGCUAGAGGGCGGCAGAGGCGAGUGGAAUUCCCGGUGUAGCGGUGAAAUGCGCAGAUAUCGGGAGGAACACCGGUAGCGANNGCGGCUCGCUGGGCCGUUCCUGACGCUGAGACGC